GGUCCGCUGGCUCAAUGGCAGAGCGUCUGACUACGAUGUUUGAUCAAAUUGAUUGAAUGGUUAUCAGGAGGUUCCAGGUUCGACCCCUGGGUGGAUCG